CAAGAUCAUCCAGUCUAACCUGAGAAGGUUCCUGCGGUCAGUACACCACUUGUGGUUAAUUAUACUGCUUGUCUACUCGAUGGGCACAAGGAGCUCCUUUUUGCUUAUGGCAGAAGGCAAUGGUGAAUUAUGAAAGUCUAAAAAAUGAAGGAAACUACUACUGCUGACCUCUUCUACUCCUCCCAGUGUAACUUUAUAUAGAGGAGCAAAGUGACCACAGGUUUAGCUCAUGAUUCUGCAGGCUCAGCCAGUUGUAAGAUACAGCAGAGCUGAAAAAUUGCUUGCUCCUCCGAAAAAGCCAAAAAAAAAAAAAAAAAGAAGAAAUUACAUGGAUUUAUUUUCAUUGGGACAAGGCAUAUGCACUUUCCACAUCAGCUUUGCAACCUGGAACGUGGGCAGUAAAUAAGCACAUUGCAAAUAUCGACCGACACAUGCAGAGAAUGCAAAAUGUUACCAGCUGGAAUAAUAUAUUUGGCAGACAUUUGGCCCAUGUCUGAAUCAUCAUAUAAAGGACAUGCACAUUAAAAAUGAGAUUUCUACUGUGGUUUGCUUCAAUUUUGAUAAGAUAUUUUACUGGAAUGAUCCAAAAACUAGGGAGAAGAUUGUUGAAAAUGUCUCUGCUUAAGGACUAGCAAGGCCUCCAUCAGUUGGUGGUAGGUGUAGAGAGUGAUAAGGUCUCACCUCAUCCUCACUCCAGUGAGACUGCUACUGAGUCAGCCACCCUAGUCUCCUCUGUG